rnacentral:rRNA from 1 species
UACAGAGGUCUCAAGCGUUGUUCGGAUUCAUUGGGCGUAAAGGGUGCGUAGGUGGCGGGGUUAGUCAGGUGUGAAAUCUCGGAGCUCAACUCCGAAACUGCACUUGAUACUGCCUUGCUUGAGUGCUGGAGAGGAGAUUGGAAUUUACGGUGUAGCAGUGAAAUGCGUAGAUAUCGUAAGGAAGACCAGUGGCGAAGGCGAAUCUCUGGACAGUUACUGACACUGAGGCACGAAGGCCAGGGGAGCAAACGGG